UGGCUUCCAUCUGGAAGAAUCUGGAGACAGGUGCUGCAUGGCUGUCGUCAGCUCGUGUCGUGAGAUGUUGGGUUAAGUCCCGCAACGAGCGCAACCUUGCCUUUAGUUGCCAGCAGUUCGGCUGGGCACUCUAAAGGGACUGCCGGUGUUAAACCGGAGGAAGGUGGGGAUGACGUCAAGUCCUCAUGGCCUUUAUGACCAGGGCUACACACGUACUACAAUGGCCGAUACAAAGGGCAGCGACACUGCGAGGUGAAGCCAAUCCCGUAAAAUCGGUCUCAGUCCGGAUUGGAGUCUGCAACUCGACUCCAUGAAGUUGGAAUCGCUAGUAAUCGUGAAUCAGAAUGUCACGGUGAAUACGUUCCCGGGCCUU
rnacentral:rRNA from 1 species